CUUUUCUCUCUAUUGAAGAUGUGACGUCCUCCACUGUCGCCGCCGCUCGCGUCGCACGAGCUCCCUCCACCGAUGCUCUCAUCGCAUUUGCAACCUUCGUCGCCAUCGUCACACGAGCUCUCUCCACCGUGCUCUUAUCUUAGGAGCUCCUUCCGCCGCCGCUCUCAUCACUACUUCUUCUCUUCUCGUCGCCGUUAGUUUAGAAUACGAUCGAGGAGAGCUCUUAUGUUUGCAAAUCAGCUAUGGCUGCUGCAGAGAACGAAGUUUCUAAAUUCUAAGGUUCUGGUCCGAGGUUAGUUGCAGUUUCAAUUAGUUUUGGUGGGAUGCUUAUAUUUGCAAUGAUGCUUGGACUUGUCUCUGAUGCCAUUUCUGAGAAGUUCGACUCACUGAGGAAAGAAAAAAGUGAGGUAGUUGAGAAAAAUCAUACUUUGAUUCUUGGCUGGAGUGAUAAAUUGAACUGGGAGCUCACUGAUUCUGGCUGAUCUUAAAAAGGUAUAUGACUCUUGCAUGCAAUGAUGUACCUGUGACAUUUUUUUCUAUGUCAUUUUUAUCUCUCAUUUUGGAAACCAUCAUUAAAAGAUUGUGAUUCAUUUGCUAGCUUUAUAUUAUAAAUCGAAG